rnacentral:rRNA from 1 species
UCUGGUGAUCAUGCCGGAGGGGUUCCACCCGUUCCCUUCUCGAACACGGAAGUUAAGACCUCCAGGGCCGAUGAUACUUGGGGCGCAAGCCCCUGGGAAAGUAGGUUGUCGCCAGGU